GAUGAACGCUGGCGGCGUGCCUAAUACAUGCAAGUCGAGCGAACGGACGAGAAGCUUUCUUCUCUGAUGUUAGCGGCGGACGGGUGAGUAACACGUGGAUAACCUACCUAUAAGACUGGGAUAACUUCGGGAAACCGGAGCUAAUACCGGAUAAUAUUUUGAACCGCAUGGUUCAAAAGUGAAAGACGGUCUUGCUGUCACUUAUAGAUGGAUCCGCGCUGCAUUAGCUAGUUGGUAAGGUAACGGCUUACCAAGGCAACGAUGCAUAGCCGACCUGAGAGGGUGAUCGACCACACUGGAACUGAGACACGGUCCAGACUCCUACGGGAGGCAGCAGUAGGGAAUCUUACGCAAUGGGCGAAAGCCUGACGGAGCAACACCGCGUGAGUGAUGAAGGUCUUCGGAUCGUAAAACUCUGUUAUUAGGGAAGAACAUAUGUGUAAGUACCUGUGAACAUCUUGACGGUACCUAAUCAGAAAGCCACGGCUAACUACGUG
rnacentral:rRNA from 1 species